rnacentral:rRNA from 1 species
GAUGAACGCUAGCGGCAGGCUUAACACACGCAAGUCGAGGGGUAUAGUUCUUCGGAACUAGAGACCGGCGCACGGGUGCGUAACGCGUAUGUAAUCUACCUUUUACAGGGGGAUAGCCCAGAGAAAUUUGGAUUAAUACCCCAUAGUAUGUUGUGGUGGCAUCACUGUAACAUUAAAGUUCCAUCGGUAACAGAUGAGCAUGCGUCCCAUUAGCUAGAUGGUAAGGUAACGGCUUACCAUGGCUACGAUGGGUAGGGGUCCUGAGAGGGAGAACCCCCACACUGGUACUGAGACACGGACCAGACUCCUACGGGAGGCAGCAGUGAGGAAUAUUGGACAAUGGGCGCAAGCCUGAUCCAGCCAUGCCGCGUGCAGGAUGACGGUCCUAUGGAUUGUAAACUGCUUUUGUACAGGAAGAAACACUCCCUCGUGAGGGAGCUUGACGGUACUGUAAGAAUAAGGAUCGGCUAACUCCGUGCCAGCCGCCGCUGUAA